rnacentral:rRNA from 1 species
AUUGAACGCUGGCGGCAUGCCUUACACAUGCAAGUCGAACGGCAGCACGGGAGCAAUCCUGGUGGCGAGUGGCGAACGGGUGAGUAAUACAUCGGAACGUGCCCAGUAGUGGGGGAUAACCCGGCGAAAGCCGGACUAAUACCGCAUACGACCUACGGGUGAAAGCAGGGGAUCGCAAGACCUUGCGCUAUCGGAGCGGCCGAUGUCAGAUUAGCUAGUUGGAGGGUAAAAGCCUACCAAGGCAACGAUCUGUAGCUGGUCUGAGAGGACGACCAGCCACACUGGGACUGAGACACGGCCCAGACUCCUACGGGAGGCAGCAGUGGGGAAUUUUGGACAAUGGGCGCAAGCCUGAUCCAGCCAUGCCGCGUG